UCGAGAUCUAUCAAGGCUAAAAAACUCUUCCAUUCCACUUAUAUACUUAAUGCGAAUAUGGAUCUAAAUUAACUUUAAAAAUCCAUAGAAAAAUGACAUGAUAAUUACAAUAUAAAUAUAGGAGAGUAAAAAUAACAUGGAGGGAAUUUUAAAAAGUAACAAAUCACAGAAUUUUGGUGAUGAAAUGAGUAAAUAUAGUGGAAAGUGGAAAUCAGAAUGACCAAAGCAAGGACAUGGUUUAACACUUGACACUAAAUUGAUGCAGAAGCAUCUUUGUCCUCCGGUCACACACACGGCCCAAAACUUCCUUUCUUCUAACUUUGUUAACACCAUCAAUUCCCUUGUCGAUUAACAAUACAAACCAGUGCCACCAACAGAACCCAGAGAAAUAGUAAUUUAGGAAUCCAAGCUCUCUUAGCUUGAGUGGAUGUGCACUCUUUUUUACUUUCAAUUUGCCCAUUAGACCUUACAGCCCCUAGGUGGUGGCUCUACUGCAUCUUCACCUUCACACCCAUCCCAACAAUUAAGUCAUUUCUACUUUUUCUCCGUCCCUUCUUCCUCCUUUAUCUCCUUCCUUAAUAACCUCAUAUUAAAGUUGCUCAUAGAGAAACAAAAAUAUAAGAUCACUUCUUAUGAAAAUAAAACCAACAAUCAUUCAAUAACCCCUGUUCAACAACCAUAUAGUAUGAAAAGGCAGAGAGAGAGACUGAACCGAAAGGGAUGGCUUAUGGCCAAUUCGCUCCUAACGAACCCUUAAAAAGAAGAUUCAUUCUCCGAAGCUUGUCUAUUUCCCAACGCGCGUGAUUAAAUGCAAGCCAAAAAAAAAUAAUAAUAAUCCUCAAAAUUACCCAGGACACUCUCCAAAAUCAAAAAAGAACAACAGAAUCACAGAAUCCAAACCUGAACAAUUCGUGGAAUUUCUGAGGAAAUAAUCUGUGUUUCAUCGGCGAUUCAGGUACUCAAGAGAUCUAUCAAGGCUAAAAAACUCUUCCAUUCAACUUAUACCUAGAGCGAAUAAGGAUCUAAAUUAACUUUAAAAAACCAUAGAAAAAGGGCACGAUAAUUACAAUAUAAAUAUAAGAGUGUAUUAGUAACAUCGAGAGAAUUUUAAAAAGUACAAAUCACAUAAUUUUAGAGAUGAAAUGAGUAUUUAUAGAUUUAAUUUUUUUAAAAAAUACCAAAGAUGGAUCUUAUUUAUUUUGAUAUAUAUUGACCUAAAUAUCUUAAUUAAAAGGACAUGAAAAGCAAUGGGGGACUUUGGUUGCCAAAGGAGAAGCUUAUUACUUGUAGGACAAUCAAAUGUUUCUCUUUCACUAGCCCUUACUUCUUAAGCCUAACUAACCAAAACAACCCUAAAAAGGUAACCAAACUCCCCUAAUGCAAAUAACAUCGCACAACGCAUGACCAAAGAAAGAAAAAGAAGAAACUCAAAAUUUCAAAAAAAACAUAAUACAAAAUGCAAAACAAGCUAACGAUAAUAAAUCUAAAUUAAAGAUGUAUCAUCCCCCAACAAUGGACCCAAAAAAGAAAAAGAAGAAACUCAAAAUUUUGAAACAGUUCAAUAAGAAAUAAUCGACCAGAAAGGGUUCUUUAUGGACUGGAAGAAAUAGUAACACAAUUAUUUUUAACAAUCCAAUAGUGCAAAUAAAACUAAAAGAAUGUCGAAUAAAAGAGGGAAGGAACUUCUACUUACAUCGACGAUUCAAAGUACUCCCUACAACUUAAACCAAGUGCGAAUCAGGAUCUAAAUUAGCUUUCAAAAACCGUAGAAAAAGGAAAUGAUAAUUAAUAAGAGUGUAAUAGUAACAUGGGGGAAUUUUAAAAAGUAACCUAACCCAAAAUUUUAGAGAUGAAAGGAGUAUUUAUAGAUUUUAUUUUUAAAAAAUUACCAAAGAUGGAUCUUAUUUAUUUUGAUAUAUAUUUAUAUAAAUUUCUUAAGCAAAAGGACAUGAAGAGUAAUAGUGUAGACGUACCUGUUAACGAGGGACGAAUUUGGCUUCUGUAGGAGCAGCCUCUUUCUUUCCUAGAAAAAUGGUCAGAUGCUUGAGGAAAAGCUUAUUACUUGUUGGACAAUCAAAUGCUUCCCUUUCACAAGCCCUUACUCUUAAGCCUAACUAGCCACACCCCCCCCCCCCCCCCCCCCAAAAAAACAACCAUACACCCCUAAAAAAAACUAUGAAUCAUGACAUCAUGGUAAUUUCGAUCUGAGACAAGAAAAAUGAAUUAUCUCCCUUACUCUCAAGCCUAACUAACAGAGACGUAUCAAAAAUGAAAUCAAAAUGCAUUUACCUAGUCAAUUGUUGAUACAUUUUUCGAGUAGUGAAAAGUAGAAAUAAGAAUGGCCAAAGCAUGGACAACACUAACUUUGAUGCAAAAGCAUCUUUGUCCUUCUGGUCACAGAUACUGCCCAGAACAUCCUUUCUUCUAACUUUCUUCACACCAUCCAUUCCCUUAUAUCAACAAUAGCAACGAAUGCCACCAACAGAACCCAGAGCAAUAGUAACUUAGGAAUCUAAGACCUCAUGGCUUGAAUGGAUGUGCACUCUUUUUUUACUUUCAUUUUGCACAGCCACUGAGUGGUGGCUUUGCUGCAUCUUCAUACUCAUCCCAACAAUUAAGUCAUUUCUACGUUUUCUCUCUUCAUUCUUCCUCAUUUAUCUCCAUCCUUAAUAACCCCAUUUUAAAGUUGCACAUAGAGAUACACAAAUAUAAGAUCACUUCUUCUGAAAACAAAACCAACAAUUAUUCAAGAACCCCAGUUCAACAACCAUGUCUGUGUUUUAAAUGCAAGCCGAAAAACUAAAAAAUGAAAAUCCCAAAAAUUACUCAUGACACUCUUCAAAAUAAAAAAGAACAACAGAAUCACAAAAUGCAAGAGCGAUUAAGGUACUCCGGGUCUAUCAAUGCUAAAAAACUCUUCCAUUUCUUCCAAGAGCAAAUAAGGAUUUAAAUUAACUUUAAAAGACCAUAGGAAAAGGACAUCAUAAUAACAACACAAAUAUAAGAGUGUAAUAGUAACAUGGAGGGAAUUUUAAAAAGUAACAAAAUGCAAAAUUUUAGAGAUGAAAUGAGUAUUCAUAGAUUUGAUUUUUAAAAAAUUACCAAAGGUGGAUCUUAUUUAUUUUUAUAUAUCCACUUUUAAGCCUAACUAACUGAGACGUAUCAAAGACAAAAAUCGAAACACAUUUACCUGAACAAUCGUUGAUACAUUUCGCGAGAAGUAGAAAAUAGAAUAACCAAAGCAUGGACAUGGUUUAACACUGACAGUAAAUUGAUGCAGAAGCAUCUUUGUCCUCUGGUCACACAUACUGCCCAGAAAUUCCUUUCUUCUAACUCUCUUAGCACCAUCUCAUUCCCUUGUAGAUGGGAUGGUGUUAAGAGAGUUAGAAGAAAGGAAUUGGUGGCUCUGGUGCAUCUUCAUACUCAACCAACAAUUAAGUCAGUCUCUACCUUUUCUCAGUCCUUCUUCCACUUUUAUCUCCUUCCUUAAUAACCUCAUAUUAAAGUUGCACAUAGAGAUACACAAAUAUAAGAUCUUAUUUAUUUUUAUAUAUCCCUUACUUUUAAGCCUAACUAACUGAGACGUAUCAAAGACAAAAAUCGAAACACAUUUACCUGAACAAUCGUUGAUACAUUUCGCGAGGAGUAGAAAGUAGAAAAUAGAAUAACCAAAGCAUGGACAUGGUUUAACACUGACAGUAAAUUGAUGCAGAAGCAUCUUUGUCCUCUGGUCACACAUACUGCCCAGAAAUUCCUUUCUUCUAACUCUCUUAGCACCAUCUCAUUCCCUUGUAGAUGGGAUGGUGUUAAGAGAGUUAGAAGAAAGGAAUUGGUGGCUCUGGUGCAUCUUCAUACUCAACCCAACAAUUAAGUCAGUCUCUACCUUUUCUCAGUCCCUUCUUCCACUUUUAUCUCCUUCCUUAAUAACCUCAUAUUAAAGUUGCACAUAGAGAUACACAAAUAUAAGAUCACUUCUUCUAAAAACAAAACAAACAAUCAUUCAAAAGAACCCCAGUUAAACAACCAUGUGUGUGUUUAAAUGCAAGCCAAAAGAACUAAACAAUAAUAAUCCUCAAAAUGACCCACAUCAUAAAAAAAAAAACAACACAAUCAGUGAAUGCAAACCUAAACAGUUCGUGGAAUUUCCUGAGGAAAUAACCUCUGCUUUCAUCGGCGAUUCAGGUACUCCCUACAACUUAACCCAACAAUUAAGUCAGUCUUUACCUUGAUUCUCUCCCUUCUUCCACCUUUAUCUCCUUCCUUAAUAACCUAAUAUUAAAGUUGCACAUAGAGAUACACAAAUAUAAGAUCACUUCUGAAAACAAAACCAACACUUAUUCAAGAACCUCAGUUUAACAACCAAGUGUGUGUGUUUCAAUGCAAGGGAAACAACUAAAAAGUAAAAAUCCUAAAAAUUACACACGACACUCUUGAAAAUAAAAAAAGAACAGAAUCACAGAAUGCAAACCUGAAAAGUUCGUGGAAUUUCCAAGGAAAUAACCUCUGUUUUCUUUGACGAUUAAGGUACUACAGAUCUAUCAAGGCUAAAAAACUCUUCCAUUCCUUCAACUUAAACCAAGAGCGAAUAAGUAUUCAAACUUAAAAACUACAGAAAAAGGACAUGAUAAUUAUAAUACAAAUAUAAGAGUGUAAUAGUAACAUGAAGGAAAUUUUAAAAUUAACAAAACACAAAAUUUUAUAGAUGAAAUGAGUAUUUAUAGAUUUGAUUGUUCAAAAAUUACCAAAGAUGGAUCUUAUUUAUUUUGAUAUAUGUUUAUAUAAAUAUCUUAAGUAAAAGGACAUGAAAGUAAAAAUGAGAAUGGCCAAAGCAUGGACAUGGUUUAACACUGACACUAAAUUGACGCAGAAGAAUCUUUGUCCUUUGGUCACACAAUACUCCCUAGAACUUCCUUUCUUAUAACUUUGAAUGGAUGCACAUUCUUUUUUACUUUCUAUUUUCCCAUUAAACCUUACAACCACUGACUGGUGGCUCUGCAGCAUCUUCAUACUCAACCCAACAAUUAAGUAUGUCUCUAACUAUUCUCUCUCCCUUCUUCCUUCUUUAUCUCCUUCCUUAAUAACCUCAUAUUAAAGUUGCACAUAGAGAUACACAAAUAUAAAAUCACUUAUUAUGAAAACAAAACCAACAAUCAUUCAAUAACACCAGUUCAACAACCAUGUGUGUGUUUAAACGCAAGCCAAACAAACUAAAAAAUAAUAAAAAUGACCUAGGACACACUCCAAAAUAAAAAGGAACAACACAAUCACUGAAUACAAACCUGAACAGUUCGUGAAAUUUCCGAGGAAAUAAGCUUUGCUUUCAUUGGCGAUUCAAGUACUCGAGAUCUAUCAAGGCUAAAAAACUCUUCCAUUCCACUUAUACUUAAUGCGAAUAUGGAUCUAAAUUAACUUUAAAAAUCCAUAGAAAAAUGACAUGAUAAUUACAAUACAAAUAUAGGAGAGUAAAAAUAACAUGGAGGGAAUUUUAAAAAGUAACAAAUCACAGAAUUUUAGUGAUGAAAUGAGUAAAUAUAGUGGAAAGUGGAAAUCAGAAUGACCAAAGCAAGGACAUGGUUUAACACUUGACACUAAAUUGAUGCAGAAGCAUCUUUGUCCUCCCGUCACACACACGCCCCAAAACUUCCUUUCUUCUAACUUUGUUAACACCAUCAAUUCCCUUGUCGUAUUAACAAUACAAACCAGUGCCACCAACAGAACCCAGAGAAAUAGUUAAAUUUAGGAAUCCAAGCUCUCUUAGCUUGAGUGGAUGUGCACUCUUUUUUACUUUCAAUUUGCCCAUUAGACCUUACAGCCCCUAGGUGGUGGCUCUACUGCAUCUUCACCUUCACACCCAUCCCAACAAUUAAG
rnacentral:lncRNA from 1 species